ensembl:ncRNA C06A8.13 ncRNA
UUGUUAACAGAAGAAGCUGUGUUGCUCCCUCCGAAUUUCUUUUUGCUCCUCCUCCCAUCUUCUUCCUCUUGUCGUCGAAAGUCCGUUUAAUUCUAUGCAAAUGUACGGCAGCAGAAGAUGU